CCAGAUCCGGUUGAUUCUGCCGGAGGCCACUGCUAUCGGGAUCCGACUAAGCCAUGCGAGUCAUAGGGCCCGGGGCAACCCGGGUACCUGGCGCACGGCUCAGUAACACGUCGUCAACCUACCUUGGGGAGGGGGAUAACCUCGGGAAACUGAGGACAAUACCCCAUAGGCUGGAGAGGCUGGAAGGCGCUCCAGCCCAAAGGGACCGAAAGGUCCGCCCCAAGAUGGGACGGCGGCCUAUCAGGUAGUUGGUGGUGUAACGGACCACCAAGCCUACGACGGGUACGGGCGAUGGGAGUCGGAGCCCGGAGAUGGGCACUGAGACAAGGGCCCAGGCCCUACGGGGCGCAGCAGGCGCGAAACCUUCGCAAUGGGCGAAAGCCCGACGAGGGGAUCCCGAGUCCCGCUGGUCUCUGACCGGCGGGUUUUCCCGAGUCUAAAAAGCUCGGGGAAUAAGGGGUGGGCAAGGCUGGUGCCAGCCGCCGCGGUAAUACCAGCACCCCGAGUGGUGGCCACGUUUAUUG
rnacentral:rRNA from 1 species